UUCGAUUCUGGCUCACGAUGAACGCUAGCGGCAGGCUUAACACAUGCAAGUCGAGGGGCAGCGCGGGGUAGCAAUACACUGGCGGCGACCGGCGGAAGGGUGCGUAACGCGUGAGCAACAUGCCCGUAUCAGGGGGAUAAUCGGUGGAAACGCCGUCUAAUACUCCAUAACACUUUUUUGGACAUCCAGGGGAGUUGAAAGCAUUUUUGCGGAUACGGAUUGGCUCGCGUGACAUUAGCUGGUUGGCGGGGUAACGGCCCACCAAGGCGACGAUGUCUAGGGGUUCUGAGAGGAAGGUCCCCCACACUGGAACUGAGACACGGUCCAGACUCCUACGGGAGGCAGCAGUGAGGAAUAUUGGUCAAUGGGCGGAAGCCUGAACCAGCCAUGCCGCGUGCAGGAAUAAAGGGCCCUACGGGUCGUAAACUGCUUUUGACGUGGAGCAAUAAGGGCUACGUGUAGCCUGAUGAGAGUACUCGUCGAAUAAGCAUCGGCUAACUCCGUGCCAGCCGCUGC
rnacentral:rRNA from 1 species